AUUUUAUUUUUUUUUUCACUUGUAUUUCCUUAGGUGGUGAGACUAAAAGUUAUAAAUUCGAAUGAUAAGGGAUACUUUGUAACAAUACGAAGAGACUACGUAACGCUUUCAUACAUUUUAAAAUAUAUGCAAGAUAUUCCUUAUGAAAGUGAUGAAAUAAUGACUUCAGUUAGUAAGAAGGAAGCGUAUGAUUAUAGAAAAGAAGAUUUUUAUGAAUUUUGCCGUAGAUGUGAUUUAACAGAUGCGACAGAUUUAAUAAAACAAUCUACUUAUACAACAGAAGAAAGGUACCAAGAUGGUAGAGGUUGCAUGUGUAGUAAAGUUAAACCGUUUGGAGGUGAAAGAAGAUCAAGAGAGAGAAUAGGAUGUAGUGUGAGAGUCAAUCCUAUGUUGUUUUUAAGGUUCUGUAUUAAAUAUACUCCUCCUUUUUAUUCAGUUUAUAAAAUUGACUACCCACCUAUUUUUAAUACACGUAUAAAUAUAACUAUACAGGAAUAUUAUUAUAAUGAUAUAAAUAGUGUUGCAAAUAAAAAAUAUGAUUUAGUUAAAAAAGAAGUAAAAUAUGAAAUAAAUGAUAACAUACGUGAAAUAAGAGAUGAUUAUUUUAAUAUAUGGUUAUACAAUAAAAGCGAAACUUAUGGAAAAGCUACUAUAGUUAAUUUAUCUGAUUAUUAUUUUCUUAUUCCUACUUCUCCAAGUACAGAACCGUAUGUACAGUCAUCUGAUGUAGCUAAUAAUUGUAACUUACCAAAGAAUUCAAAAGAACUAAAGGGUUGUGAUUAUACAAAGAAAUGUGAUGUUAUACACCCUUGUUUAAAAUAUGCAGUUAUGAUACCCCAACAUGAAUUUGAUUUGAGUGGCCGUACAUGUAAUAAAUUAGGUGUAUCGAUACCAACCUGGAGAAAGGUAACAACUACUUUUUGCACUGAAAGAAUACGAGAAUGUGUACUAUCAAAUUUAAAGUCUUUUUCUAUACGUGACUAUCAAUUAAAAGAAACCCCAUUCGAACAUAAAUAUAAGAUACAUAAUUUAUAUGGUUCAGAACCACAAACAAGAGUAAUGAAUUAUAAUGAUUUACCAAAUAAUUUAAAAGAAUUAGUAGACACAGCAGGAAGCACUGGUGAUCUUACUGAACAUAAAAAAAAAUUUUUUAAUGAAAAAGAAAGUUCAAUUAAUCAUUUUAUUGAUUAUAAAUUUAAUGGCGAUCAUAUAGUUGCCCUAGAUUUUGAAGCAUCUGGUAUGGAGGUACAUGAAAUUAGACCUAUUUCAGAUGGUACAAUUACUCAUGUUAGUGUACCAUCCGAUUGUUCAUCUAAUCAAAAAGAUUCGAAAAAAUGCUCUCUUAUGGUUCAUGCAUGGAAUAGCAGCCAAACAACUGGAGCUAAUUUUUCUUGUAGUAUUUUAUGUACCGAAGGUGACAAAGAUACACCAGUCAAUUAUAUUGCCCCUAUUAGUCCAAUACGUGCAUUCAUUGGAGCUGAUAAAAAUUAUGUAUUUUAUUUUAUAAUUCAUUUAUUAGUAAGUCAAAAAAUAGAAAUUAAGUGUAAAGCAUUUUUAAAAAAUGCAUCAGGACAAGUUACUUUUGUUAAAGAAUUUCAAAUGAACUUAAAAGAAACAGAAAAAGUUAUAAUACCACAAACGGGUGAUGAAAUACCACCUGAAGAAGAAGUGAACAUAGUAGCUGAGAUUUAUUAUGAUAAAAAAAAAGAAAAAGCAAAAGAAAAAGCAAAAGAAAAAGAAAAAACAGAUAAACAAGGAGGUAAAAAAGAAAGUAAAAAAAAAGGUAAAAAAGGGGUUAAAGAUGAAGAAGAUAAAGAAAAUGUAGAAGAAGAAGAAGAAGAAGUAGACGAAGGAGAAGAAGAAAACAAAAAAACUGUUUCGAAAAUUGUAUGUCCAUGUCGUUUUAAUGCGACUUGUUAUUUAUGGAACUUUAAAAUUUGCAUAAAUUAUUAUAUAAAUCUGGUAAAAACAUAUGUAUAUUAUGUUAUAAUGAUAGGUGUAAGUAUUAUUAUUGGUAUAGUAUUAAUACCAUUGCUUCCUUUUAUAUUUAAUUUCGUUUUUACUAUUACCACUGUCAUUUUUAGUAUGUAUUUUAAAAUAGUAAAUGCAUUACUAAAAUGUAAACUAUUAAAAAAAAAAAAAAAAAAAGAGAUUAACUUUCAUAAUCAACAAACAUUAAACCAAGACCAUAAUAGUAAAAACAGUAAUAAAUAUGCUGAUAAUAAUAAAAAAAAAAAAAAAAAAAUAUAUAGUUCUCAAGAGUCUAAAGGUGCAACUACAUCUUUGCCCUUACACGAAGCAGGAAAAAAACAGGAACGCACGCGAACAACAAAUAAGGCAACACAUCGGUCAAAACGUAAUCUAAGAAGUGAUACAAAAAAACAUGCAAGGAAUAGUUGUGAAGGUAAAUAUAGCGACAUUUCAUUGAACAGUAAUAUGGCAUAAUCAAACUGUACCUACAUGCAGACACAAAUAUACACAUAUAUAUAUAUGCACUCUUUUUUGUUUUUACAUUCAGUUUAUACAAAUUUUCAAGUUCUUUAAACAUAAUUUAUCGUUAUAUCAUGUUAAUUUUUUUAUUAUUAUUUUCUUUUAAAUUGUCAUUUUAUUUAUUUAAUAAUUUAACGUGAUAUAAUAUCUCUAAAUUUAUUUUUUUUUUUUUUUUCUUUUUUCUUUUUUUAUUUUUAUUAUUUUUUUUUUUUUUAGUAUAUGCAUAAUAACCAAUUUUUUUUAUAUUUACGAAAUGCUUUUUUUUUUUUUAAACACCAUUUCAUAGUAUUUGUCUUAAACAAACAACGUACAUAUACAUAUUAAGUUAUAAAAAAUAAUAAUAACCUAAUAAUGUAAAAGUUGUUCUUAAUGGUAAUAGUGAUAGUAGUAGUAGUUGCAAUAUAAUUACCUUUUUUUCUUUUUAUUCCUUGCAAUUAAGUGGCUUAAAAAUAUUUUUGCAUUUUUCAAUAUUAUUAAAAAAAUAAUCAAAUUGUGAUAUUCGUUUUAUUUUACCACAUAUAUACCUACACUUUUUUAUACACAUAUAUAUAUCAAUAGAUCAUUAUAUAUGGUCAGAUAAAUAGAUAGCUAAAUAGUUAGCUAAGUAUAUGACUAAACAAAUAGUUAAAUAAGUAGGUAGAAAGUUAAAUAUUUACGAAUCACAUAAUAUAUAUGUACGAAGAUA
ensembl:lncRNA